rnacentral:rRNA from 1 species
AUAGCGUAUAUUAAAGUUGUUGCAGUUAAAAAGCUCGUAGUUGAACUUCAGCUCUGGCCGGGCGGUCUGCCUCACGGUAUGUACUGUCUGGCCGGAGCUUACCUCUUGGUGAGCCCGCAUGCCCUUUACUGGGUGUGUGGGGGAACCAGGACUUUUACUUUGAGAAAAUUAGAGUGUUCAAAGCAGGCAAAUGCCCGAAUACAUUAGCAUGGAAUAAUAGAAUAGGACGUGCGGUUCUAUUUUGUUGGUUUCUAGAGUCGCCGUAAUGAUUAAUAGGGAUAGUUGGGGGCAUUAGUAUUGAGUUGCUAGAGGUGAAAUUCUUGGAUUUACUCAAGACUAACUACUG